rnacentral:lncRNA from 1 species
UAGUAUCAACACAAAAAUUUUAAGAUAAAGUUUUCGUCAGUAAGAACAAAAAUAUAUAAAAUGUUAUCGCUAAAUAGAAUUUGAUCUUACAUCCAUUAUUCUCUGUUACUAGACACAUAUUUCGGAUUUUUUAGAGGGAAACAUUUGUUCUCGUGAAAAAUUUUUCGUGAAUUCGCGAGUUAUACAUGCUCGUGUCGAAGUAAUUCGCGGAAAAGUCAAUAAAAAAAUUUUUAAGAGACGAAAAUUGGUACUGAGACGACUGAUGCAAUACUUGCGAAUACUGCGAAUCCGUAAAUGACACUCUGUCAACUCGAGCGAGCACGAUUACGAUCAAUAAUUUUUACGAGAACGAUCGAUCGUUGGGCGGACUCACGUUUGGCAAGAAGUGAAAACGGCACAUGGGUUUAUCGAUAUCCACAGUUGCUUUAUUAUGUAAAACUACGCGAACUACGUUCAGCUUCGAAAAUUACACGGUACAGGGAAACUGCGACACAGGAAACCGCGGUGCGUGCUCAAGGAAACGCAGCGGCGCUAAAUAAUCGUCGAAUAAAGUAAAAAGAAUAAAGAAAACAAGAAUGAAAAAAGUUCACAGACACCUAACGGUUGUGAGUGAAAGGAAAUCACACACGAUAAAGACAUAUAAUUAAGAUGCCACAGCGUAUAUUGAACGGAAAUGAUAAAAAAGAACAUGCAAUUGAGAGAACGCUGACUCGUUGUGUUUCCGACCGAUCUCGUCUAUCUCAAAUACGUCGCGCUUAAUUAAGUUUUCAGAGUAUAAACUGUUGAACUCUUCCGGCAAUAUAAUAAGCGAUAUAUUUUGUUUCAAAAACAACGAUACGCUAUAUUUAACGUUUGUUGUACGUUAUAUUUAACCAAGUUUAUUUCAGUGUCAUAAGAUAAAAAUAAUAAUCUGAGAACUCUGCCAACCGUAUAAUUUUAGAGAACAUAAUUAUAAUAAUUAUUUUUUUACUUUUAUUAGAUCAUAAAUUAUAAAAGUGUAUAGUUUUACUCUUUAAUAAUUAUAAAAAUUACACAAUUGUUAUGGAAAAAUGAUAUAUCUUCAACGUUAAUUAGUAACAUUAAUUUCCUCAAACAAAACUAAUAUUGUCUUGAAAAGAUGAUUAUUGAAAUUAAGCUGCAAGAUUUUUUUCCUGAGAAUAUUUUUAAUUUCGUUUUACUCUCUCAAUAAUUACAUAUUUGUUAUUUUUUAAGUGUCGUGUUAUUAUGGGCGCAGUAGAAAACGCAUAUUUUAAUAAAUUCAAACUCUCUUCACGUGAUAAAUAUUGACCGCUAUUUAUUCUGAACACGACAACACGACGCAACGUGGAUCGAUAUACGAGAAUCGCCUGACAACUGUAAACAUGACGUUGUCGUCAUAAAAUAGAAUACGCGUUGUACGUUGCAACGAGAGCAUGCGACUUCAAUAUUUCUUUGCGUUCGAUAUUUGCGUCAUUCGUUUCACUCGUUCGUAGUGCGGUGCAGUUACGUUUCGCGAGGCAAAAUUGAAGCAAAAAAAUAGCAUGCAAUUUUUGCAGUUACAUAGAAAUUACAACGGCAAUUGAUUGCACAGGACUGAUUUCUAAUGCGCCUCCAAUUGUGAAGAAUUGCAUCUGUAAAUUCUGUCCGUUCGACAUUUCUAGUAAUAUUUUAUUAUUUUCUUCAACAGAGAAUUGUGGAUUUGCGAAUAUCAACAAGACAAUUUUACUAUUUCUUAAAUACUAAAUUCGAGAAAAAAAUUCGUCUAAAAUAUAUCGAAACUUUGUCGAAUAUUUUAUGUCGUUUCUAAUUAAUAUACGAUAACUCUUACAUAUAACACACAUUAGCUCUAUUUCUGAUUAUUUAUAAUAGAUAUUACAUAUAUCUUUAUACAUAAUCAUAGUACACGAUUAAUCACGAUUCAAUAAUCAUAAUUAAUAGUCAUCUAACUACUGCAUCAUAAAUAAUCGUAAUUUGAUUGAUUUGAUUAUAGUUUGCUCGACUGUGCUCCGAACCGACGCGAGCCUUCGAUAACGUUUCUGCACCGAUUACGACAAUCCGCGCGCAACAAUCAGCAGAGGAAAUCACGUCACUCAGAACUGUUUCAUCCGGCAGCAGCUGAACGCGAAUUACACUGCGAAUGCUGAUUCGCUGUCUCCCCAGAGAACGGCACGUCCCAACCAGUUCGAAACUGCAUUAAGACGAAGACGCAGCCUCGAAUCGAAGCACGAGCCCUUAAAGGUCGCAACUGCGCUCCGGGAAUCUCCUCACUGGGGCGGAAUUCGAUUACGAACGACUUUAGUCGGAGAGAUGUGCUACUUAGAGCCAAGAGCCGAGGAAAUAGCGUCAAUAUCGAGAAUGUCCGAUGAUGAAGAGAGCGAGAAGAAAUAUAGUUUCCGAGAGAUUUGGCAAAAACCACACGAUCAUUUUUACGACCGUAAAUAGAAAAGCAAAGAAACAAGCAGCAGAAAUUGAACAGCCCGGUCAGCGGUCGUGGCUUCAAUCUCGAUCCUUCUUAUCUAUCCUCGGUGAGAAGGGUUAGCCUCGGUCAAGUUAGCUUAGGUCGCUAUCGUUCGGAUAUCGGCGAAUCCGUUUAUUUUACGACGGACUUUGAGGCAAUUGGAAAGCACGAAGUCGACAGAGGCAAGAAAGAGAAGAAGGAGAAAGAGAAAAAGACAGUCAAAGGAAGACGGAAGAAAGAAGACGAGUAUAAAAGUAAUUGACGGGUGAGGCAACGGAUAAUUGGUGAGAAAACUCAAUUAGUUUGCCAAGCGAGACUUUGUUAGUUGUCGGAAAGUUCGAGCUCCCGAAAGGUCGCUGAAACAGAACAGAAAACAGGCGGCCUCGGUCGAGCAGUCCGAGCACGGCUCUCUUGUAAAAGCGCACUUUCUUCCCUCGAGUCCGAGAAGUCACGAGAUCGCGGACGUGCAAUGACGAAGUUCUAACCGGUUUUAAGAGAUUUCAAAUAUGCAUUUAAGACUUAUUCAGAAUAGUGUCUAUUUAUAGGAAAUAAAUUAUGAUAUCAUUCAUUACACUAAUUAUCGCGACGUAAUGAUUAAACUAAAGUGAAUGCAACUUCAAUAAAUAUGUAUACAAAACGUAAUAAAUAUGUAUACAAAAAGAUUAUAU